UCAACUUCAACUUUUAUGAGGUAUUAAAUUUUCAAAUAUUAACUGUUACUUUUGAUUCCUUGGAAAUCUAUCAUCCACGCAACUAAUGAUGGAUAAUUUUCUUAUGCAAGCCAUACCAGAAUUUACUGUAACUAUUGCAGCAACAGCUAAAGCAUAGACAAUUCCCUGUGCUAAAUAACACCCAACUUCAAAAACAAAUCAUGGC
rnacentral:misc_RNA from 1 species